rnacentral:rRNA from 1 species
CGGACUGCAGCCUGCAACUCGGCUGCACGAAGCCGGAAUCGCUAGUAAUCGCGGAUCAGAAUGCCGCGGUGAAUACGUUCCCGGGUCUUGUACACACCGCCCGUCACACCAUGGGAGUCGGAAAUGCCCGAAGUCUGUGACCCAACCUUAGGGAGGGAGCAGCCGAAGGCAGGUCGGAUGACUGGGGUGAAGUCGUAACAAGGUAGC